UCAUCGCUAUAAACUCCAAUAAACAUGUGUCGAACUUAUGUUGUCACUCGGACGCUUCCUUGUAAAACGUAUAUUGAAGUUAAGCGCUGUGAUGAUCUCGACCUCGACAUGAGUUUACUAACAACAGGCGAUAUUCCCGUACUUUAAUCUGAAUUAUUUGAAAUCGUGAACAUAAAAAGAAAACGUGAAUUGGUCGGUUCCUCGUCUGAAAAUACAUUCAUAUUAAACAAUAGGCGUAUGACAGACGAGGCCAAAACCUCUGGUCAGAUUACAUGUUUAUCGUUCGGUUCACCUAUGACCUCGUUUGUUUACCUUGCUCCCGAGAUGUGACGAGAGUGCUCCUCGAGCUCGUGCGAUCUAAAUGUGCACGAUGCAAGUAUUAAAUACUGUAAUAUUUAUCUUAAAAGUAUGACACAAUAGAAGUUUAUGAUUUAGAAUAAAAAACACGCACAAGUAAAAAUGAAUCGUGUUAAUCUCUGGCAGUAAAAUAUUUAUCCCAUGAUGCAACACACACGAGUUUAGCGGGAAGUCUGAUAGCCAUGUUUGAAUUCACCGGAUGUUUAUUUCCAGAAGAAAAGUAUAAACAAACACGACGAUAGCCUAAAAACGAAGUUUGUUUCCCGUCUUACUGAAGAAGAUCGGCUUACUUCAAGUUACCGACGAAAGCAUAUCAGCUUUCUCGUUGUUUUUGACGACUGAUGCAUAUUUUUACCGACAAACAUCGUUACGAGACAGGGGUUUUGAUGAUUAAUUUAUCACAGAUUAUACGGCUGAAGGAAACGCAGUACCGAUCCAUGUGUUACAAUCAGACUGAGUCUGCAUGCAGUACAUUCUGGAAUGAGGGACACCGCAUGCAUUGUGGUCCAAAUUGAUGGCAUUGACUUAACACAAAGCAGAAAGGAAUGAAGAAAAAUUAAGAAGUUUAUGUUUCACAUUAAUUAAGAUUAUUCGAGAUAUGUUAUCUGUCGAGGUAUACAACAUUUCCUUUCAUAAUAAAAGUGUAAACAUUAAUAUAUAUACAAAAAAAAAUCAUGUAUAUUAUCUAAAAAUCCUUGUUAGUUAUUUGUUGUACUAGCUAAAAAAUAUAAUAUAGUCGUCUCAAGCUUGGUUGUAUUGAAAUCCCCGGGGACAGUGACCGAGAUAUAUCACUACAGUACGUGCUACAUCAAACAACACACCAUUGUUCAAAUUGUCAAUCAACAUUUCAUUUAGUCGGUAUUUAGAAUUGAUUCCAAAAUUAUGAUAAUCUUUUCACAGUUUAUUAGAAAUAAUGUUAAAUUCGACAGAAGUCUUCGACUGUUGCUUGUUUUUGUUUAUUUUAAGUUCACGGACACACAUGAAAACAGUUUCCAGUACAUCUGGGCUACUUCGAGGAAACUACGUAUACUGUCUGAAAUCAGUCUUGUGCGUCGGUGACAAAAUGAAUACAUAUCCUACUUUAACUCUGCUGGAAAAUAUUAUUUUGUACUAUUUUCCUACUAUUUUAGAAAAAAAAACAGAAUUAUAAAUACAUACU